GCAAGUCGUACGAGAAUUCUUCUGUUCGCAGAAGAUAGUAAAGUGGCGCACGGGUGAGUAACGCGUGGGUAAUCUACCUUCGAAUUUGGGAUAACAUUGCGAAAGCGGUGCUAAUACCGGAUAAUAUCCUUUAUUCUUUGGAAUAUUGGAUCAAAGAUGGCCUCUACAUGUAAGCUAUUGUUUGAAGAUGAGCCCGCGUACCAUUAGCUUGUUGGUAGGGUAAUGGCCUACCAAGGCUACGAUGGUUAGCUGGUCUGAGAGGAUGAUC
rnacentral:rRNA from 1 species